ACACCUCAACUCUUCAUGGUUUGCCAUGAUGAGCUUGGACUUUGGGGGUCUUGCUGGCCUGUGGUCGGCUCCUCUCAAAUGAAUCAGCUUUCCAGUGUUUGGUGGCGUCACAGGUGUGAUAAAUAUCUACGCUUGUGGUUUCCUGCCAGGUAACCUUCAGUGAUGGAGGUUCGCUGGGGCUCAUAAAUGUCUCUCCUCAGUGAAGACAGCUUUGUGAAC
rnacentral:misc_RNA from 1 species